UCUGGCGGCAAUAGCGCGGUGGUCCCACCUGACCCCAUGCCGAACUCAGCAGUGAAACGCCGUAGCGC
rnacentral:rRNA from 1 species